CCAGACAGAAUCCACAGGUCACCAGUUGAAGGCUCUUGGGUCUUCUGACAUCAGCACCAUCAGUCAUGUGUAGAGGGGCCAUUCUCUAGCACGGGACCCGCCCUCCUGUGACCAUACAAGGCAACAGAGGAAUGCACAGCUUGGAGGUCGUGGCGCUUCAUAAAGACAACAGGCAUAACCCACAGGGGUCCGGCACUGAUGCUGAUCAUUUUUUUCCUAGAGGCAAGAAUAUCCGUCUCCAAGAACUUCUCCUCGAGCCCUGAUGAGUAACCGCGGCAUGACAUCUUUCAAAUUAGAACACUGCCUGGGCUUUUUCACUCAUAAACGGAGGAUUGGGGAGGAAGUUUCUUAAGCGGGGUUAGCAUGGAGGUGAGAUGAUGCCACAGACUGAUGAUCAUCGAGCAGCCUUCAAUCUCAUUCAGUUCCAGUGUUGGUGUGUAGCGUGACCAUGUCAGCUCGGGAGCAUGUGCCUUCUCAUGUGUCUACUGACAUAACUUUCAUCAGCUGUCUGACUUCCAGCAGAAUGUACACACGCACGUGUCCUCGCGCCGUCACGGGUCCCCCAUUGAUUCACUGGUACGGUCUCAGAUCUCAAAUCACUUCAAUCGCAUUGAUAAUUUGAACCUUUCAACAUUUAGCCUUUUUAGGCCACUCAUUUAAAUACAAAAAAAUAAAAUAAAAUAAAAACUUCAUUUACUGAGGACCAUGACCAGAGUUCAUUUCUCAUAGAAAAAAACCAUAGACUUCAAAAUAUAUUGACGUCACACGGGGCGCGGGGCAGAUUAAUAGGGGGUCUAUCUCCGUCAAAGCUGACCGAGUGGAAACACAGACAAAGAGCUUUUUACGUUGAAAAUUAUUGUGAAUAAAUGCUUAAAUCCCAGAAUUCUCUAUAGAUAUGGAUGUAAAACAGUCUCAAUUCUUGGUUAAAAGCAAAAAAACAAACAAAAAAAAAAACGCACAGUUAGCAUUUAUUUUACGUAAAUACUGUAUGUCAAAUGUGCUGCUCGUCUUUAAGCCACUGUCGUGCCGCCUUAUCAACACAAAGACCUGUUUACGAUGAAAAUUAUUAUGAAUAAAUGCUUAAAUCCCUGAAUUCUUUAUAAAUAUGAAUGUAAAAGAGUCUCAAUUGUUGGUUAAAAGCAAAAGAACCCGCGCAGGUAGCAUUUAUUUUACGUAAAUAUGUCGAAUGUGCGGCUCGUCUUUAAGUUCACUGUGGUGCCGCCUUACUACAACAAAGAGCAUUUUACGCUGAAAUUCAUGUGAAUAAAUGCUUAAAUCCCUGAAUUCUAUAUAGAUAUGGACGUAAAACAGUCUCGAUUCUUGGUUAAAAGCAAAUGAAAACGGGCAGUUAGCUUUUAUUUUACGUAAAUAUGUUGAAUGUGCUGCUAGUCUUUAAGCCACUGUGGUGCUGCCUUUUCACCACAAAGAGCUUUUUACGUUAAAAUUCUUGUGAAUACAUGCUUAAAUACCUGAAUUCUUUUUAAAUAUGAACGUAAAACAGUUUCAGUUCUUGUUUGAAAGCAAAAAAAAAAAACAACAACAACGUGCAGUUAGCAUUUAUUUUAUGUAAAUAUUGCGAAUGAUGAUGCAAAUGCCAUAGUGGUUAAUGUCUCCCAUUGAUUUUUUUCACAAUGUUUCAAAAUGCAUCCAUGGUACGAAAAAUAUAAUAAUUACCUUGAAUCCUCGAACAUAUCACUCCUGAGACAAUCCUUCCUGUUUGUAUGCAGUACAGCUUUCGUACUUUUUCAACCUAAAUUUUUUUUCCCAACCGUUUCAGAAUAACUGCGACCGACUUCGACCGAGUGUGGCAUGAAGGCAUGGUGCAGGUUCUGGGGAAUGUGUCCCAUUAAUAUCUUUAUGAAGUUUCUAAAAAAAAAAAAAAAAAAAAAAAUCCAAAGUAAACAGGAAAUCACGCAGAAAUUACCCGAAAUCAACAGGGAGUGACCGAAAUAAAUAGGACGUUACCCAGGAAUUUCCUCCAAAUCCAGGUAGUGACCAGGAAAUGAACCUAAAUCAAUAGGAAGUGACCCAAAAACUGUGCCAGAAAAGCCCUGACAUCAACAGAAGUGACCAAAACAAAUAAGAAGUCACCCAGAAAUGCCAUAAAAUCAACAAUCAAACCCUAACCCAGAAAAGCCAAUGAGUGAGGGUAAUCAAAAACAAAAACAAAAAAAAAAAAACAAAAAAAUCAUAAAACAUAAUCAUGCAAUAAUAAUGAUAUUGUUGAUAUAUAAUGAUAUCAAUGAUACUAAUGACUUUACAGUAUUCAAGAUACCAAAAUGUAAAUGAUUAUUAACCCUUUAUCGGGCAAGUGACCAUUUUUGGUAAUUAAAGCGAAAAGACAUAAAGACCUGGCAUCCAUAAAUGGGGACAUUACAUUUUGGGUCAUGUAGGACAAAAAAAAUUACCAUAAUGUUCGCACUAUAAGGCGCACCUGACUAUAAGCUGCACCCUUCAAAUUUGGCACGAAAACAGCAUUUGUUCAUAGAUAAGCCGCAAUGGACAAUAAACCUCAGCUGUCUUCACUGUAUUAUGAAAUAUUUACACCAAAAGAUAUUAACCGGUAACACUUUAUUUGACAGCGGCAUCAUAUGACUGUAAUAAGACCAAAUUAACCACCAUGAAGCUUUGAACCAAUAGCGUACCACACAAAUGCUAUUUUUAGACCGUGACGUCACCAUCGUAACGUGGACGUGGGUCAUUAUAGACACGCCCUUGCAUACAAUCCAUGUUAUUCCUGCUAGUUUUCGCCAGUAAUCUUUCAAAAAACAACCGCCGAUCAAACACUGCUGCUAUGGAACUUGUAGAAACGACUCUAGACAUUACAACAUAUGAAGGAUGUUUUCUUCAUACGUUUCCUGAAACCAAAAACUCGGAGGAAAAAAUGUGAAGAAUGGAUCAACUUGCACGGGCAUCCAAUAGACCAGUUUAACGCCAGCAAGCAUAUGCAGUAAACAUUUUGUUGGGGGCCAUGGUCCUACAGAGGACAAAGAGAUAAUCCAUUUUGAUAAUUUUAAUUGUUUUUUAGCACGGCGUUUUGCCGUGCUGCUUCUCUCUGACAAUGAAUGACCUAAAAAAAUUAAUAUGGUAUCUGACUGCGACUGUUACCUUUUCUCUUGUAAAAAAAGACAACAACUUUAGAAAGGGGAAAGUGUAAAUAAUUCAUAGAAUUAAGAUUUGUUAUUAAUGUAAAAAUUAAAAGUUUUUAUUGACUGUCACUAAGUAUAAUUUGCGAUCGCUACACAACAAUUGCAAUAUAAAUUGCCCCCAAGAACAGUCAGGGAUGUAAGACAACCAUAGGGUAUAAUAUAUAAAAAAGACAGGGAUAUUGGUGGUAAAGGAUAGCUUGAUUAAACAGGAGAAUGUCAUUGUCAGUGCCGUAAGAAAAAAGUGUCGAUAAAAAAGCCAAGGCUAAGCUUAGGUCGGCUCGUUUCUUUUUUCCAUCUUUUUCAGCGCUCGACACUCAAGCCCUCUCUUUAACUGAACAUUUGUAUGUUCUCCCACAUCUUUACCAGUGAAUUUGGCACCAGUGACAUCAUUUUCGGACAGAAUUGGUAUGUUUAGCUCAGGAAGCAUCUCGUUCGUACACUAUUUCCAUGCAUUUACGAUUGGGGACAAAAGGUUGACCCACCUAGCAACAAUUGCUAAAGUCAUCAAUAUUAAUGAGCAAAAGUGACAUGUUGCUUGCGGUACGCCUUUGGCUGCAAAGCUCCAUUGCUUCAAGAGGCUUCAUUUGGCCAUCACCGCUCCCUUUGGGGAGCAGUCAACCACUGCUCCCACCUGCUGUCAACACUGUUGCCGUCCAACAUGCCUCCUAGCAUGCAUUGCAGCGCUACAGAUGUUAGUAACAAACAAAAUUCAUGUUAUGUGCUAACUAUUUCUUCAGUUACUGUUCCAGUUGUUUCAUUAAUUGCUAGUAAUUGUAUUUGGCAACACUUUAUUUGACAGUGGCGCCAUAAGACUGUCAUUAGACAAUCAUAAUUACGACACCACACUGUCAUGAGCAUUAAUGAAUGCUUAUAACAGAUGUCAUUCAUUGUAAUCCGGCAAAUUAUCUCACUUUUGAAUGGAUGUAAAAGAUCCAAGCUAGACAUGAAUGGAAUUAGUGACAUAAUUUGCUGGAUGACACUUAAUGACAUUUGUCAUAAGCAUUCAGUAAUGCCCAUAAUUGUGGCAUGUCAUAAUUUUGACGGUUUUAUGACAGUCUUAUGACAUUUCUGUCAAAUGAAGUGUUACCUUUUUACCCAAAUAAAUCAACAAAUAAGCCGUACUGGCAUUAGCAGCAGGAUUCAAAAUGAAGGGAAAAAAGUAGCGUCUUACAGUGCGAAAAUAACGUUAACAUUUGGGAUUCAAGUGGACACCAGGUGUCAAUUAUAUGUAUACUGUAGGGCUGCAGCUAUGGAUUAUUUUAAUUUUCGAUUAAUCGAUGAACUAGUUAGUUCGAAUAAUCGUGUAAUCGGAUAAGGAACAUAAAAAAUACCUGACCUGAGCCUCAAACGGUAUUAAAAAAAAAAGAAAUAAAUGAGGAUAUAUGUACAACAAAAGAACAAUUGGCUAACUUACAAAGCAAAAGUCCGCUAGCCUAAAUGCAAUAAAAUGCCAAUUUUUAAAAAUUUUUUAGCAAUGCCCUUAACAAAUAGUUCAAACACGUAUACCCACACACAAAGAAAAAAAAAAACAAAA